rnacentral:misc_RNA from 1 species
AAGUCGUAACAAGGUUUCCGUAGGUGAACCUGCGGAAGGAUCAUUAACACUAUUUUACAAAAAAAACACUAACGGUGGCUUUUACGAGUCACUUGUUUUUGUUUUUUUUUCCAAACCAAAUACCCAAACUUUAUGAAAGUGCUGGUUGAUUUUUUUUGGCAAUUUGCUAAAAAAAAUCACUUUUUCAUUUUCCCUUUUUUUCAUUAACCCCAAACUCUUUCAUUGCUAAUGCAAAUGACAAUAACAAAAACAAAAUAACUACUUUAACGUAACCAAACAACUCUUAGCAACGGAUAUCUUGGCUCUC